GCGCGAAGUUAAAUGCUCCAGAAGUUGAAAUUUUAAGCGCUUGCCCAGUCUUUGAUGUACACUACUGUCAGUUGAAAGAGGAAGAAUGGAAGAACUGCAAUUUGAUGUGCAUUAUCACUCAGGAAUUCAGUAUAUGACAAUUGAGGUGCAGAUAACCCUGCACACUGUGCCUAGCACUAAUGCACAUACUGGCACAAACAGAACUCGUGACAAGGUCCAGAAACAAGCCAAGGUCAGUAGCUGUGACCAUAUGACAGGGGUGAUGAAAGCUCUGCAAGAGCCACUUAACAUGCCAGGUGUAUCUCAGGAUGAUUGGGAUAUAAAGACCUACUUCCUUAAUGACUCCAUUGAAGACACGGUCCCAGUGUUAUGUGGGUCACCUGAGAAUGACAUGCAGUGUCAGGAUGGUGGGAAGAACAAGGUAAAUGUGGUACCGAAGGUGAAGGAAACACUAAUUCUUCUACCAGGAAAUGUGGACAGAUGCCCGGAUUUAAGCCUCCAGUUUGAAUGUCUUCUGAAGAAGAGGAGUCAAGGAUUGUGACUGUACUGCCAGUGUUGUAACUGUGUUGUAUCAGUUUUAGGGUCAGGUUGUUCUACAAUGGCAACACUGUACUCGGUGUCUUCAGAAGGAAUGUAGACAUCGACUAUCCUGUAUUGAAGCUAUUGUCUAGUUUUUCAUGUUACGAAAUUGUAACUUUAUGCUAAAUGACUGUCUUGUAGAUUGUUUCAACAUAACUCAACACUCUCAUCCACCACACACACCAACUACCCUUAACCCCCAACCCCCUAACCCCCCAACCCAAGACAGAGUUGUGGGUGACCGUGAACAAGCUGAUUUUGUGUGCACCGUAGUUCAUAUUAGGCAGAAAAAAAUAAAAAUUUAAAAUACAUGUGUUUCAGGUCACCCUACUGACCCAUUGUUUCACUUGCGACACAAAUGUUUUUAUCAUGGUGGAAACAGUGGUCAAGAAACCCUUAUUAAUCAUUUGGUUAAAAAUCAGAUUUAUUUUUGCUACGGCUAUUUUUACCUACAAGUUUUAGAUACUUUGCAUCUAACAUGCAUUCUCUGCAAGCCAUCCAUGUUCAACAUCAUUAAAACGAUAUAAAAAAAGUAGAACCUUACCUACUCCCGCAUACCUGUUUGGUCCAUGUAACCUGAAACACAAGUACCGUAUUCGACGUAAUAAGCGCCCAUGGCGAUAUUUGCUAAUAUAUUGGCUAGUGAACAAUCCCAAUUAGCACCCCUUCCGAUUGAUCAAUGUACACAAGACCGAUUUAUUCAUGUAUAAUACGUACUCGUGGGUAGUAUGCACCCUUACUUAUGGGCAAUUAAAUUCUGAAAAAAUAUAUCUGUUGUAUAUAAACAUUUCAGGCUGUCAGCAUAAACCACAAAAUUUAUCUUUCAACUCUGUUUUUUUUCUUCUCCAAAAUAAUAUUCUAAUAAGAGCCCCCUAUUUUUAAUUUUGAGAGCGCCCUGGGUGCUUAUUACAUCGAAUACGGUACUUUUUAUUUGGCCUUACAUGUGUCUCUGUAAAUAGCUCCUGGCACAUGGUGUUAUGUACAAAAUCCUCCUUAUUUAACCUUCUCUGUAUUUCAUAUGCCCUGACUCGAGUCCAGUGUGACAGGGAGUUCAAGAGAAACAGCAGGAAGUUUGAGGGCAAUAUAUCUGAUCUUGUAAAUGUAGUAUAAUGUGCCAAAGAUGUUAUUAUGUAAACAUUAUCCCCAUUAAGCCCCUCUCCCUAUCAUGUGCCAGAAGAGUUCAGUGGAGGGAAAGGUCUGGGCUCAUUGCUGACCAUGGCAUUCUGUGGCUAUUGUGCUACUGGAGGUGAGCGUUGAUGAUUUGUGCACAUGUUUUGUCAUCUGGAAAGACGAAAUGUCGACCAAAACAUCUUGCAAAUGGGACAACAGUGGUUGUCAGUAUGUUGUCCCGAUAGUACUGUCCAGUGGCCCUUCCUUGCACAAUAUGGAGUGGGGUUUGGUCAGUCACAGUGAAGCCACCCCACACCAUAACCAGUCCACCGCCAAAUCUGUUAUGACAUCUCAAGUUGACAUUGGCUUGAAGUUCAUUUCGACGUCGCCAGACACCACCAUGCCUAUGAAGGAAGUCCCAAGUGAAUCGGAACCCAUCUGAAAAAAAAUGACAAGUUACCAGCAAUGAUUACCCCAGUUUCGAUGCUGUGCACACCAUUGGCGUAUGUUGGCAGUGUGAUGAUUUGUAAGGGUCAGCACAGCACAUGGCCAUCGAGCAUGGAGAUUAGCUGCAUGUGGACGAAUUCAAAUCGUCUGACCAAUAACUUGCACACCAGGAGGCUGAUGAAAGUUGCAUUUGCUGUUUGAGCUCGAUUUCAUAGAGCCUGGUGUCAGAUCGAUCCUGUACUCUUGUCGUCGACCUGGGACGACCCUGGACGGGAUCGAUCGUCAAUGUUUUGGGCUUGUUGGUACCUGUUCUGUAGUCUGCUAAUGACAGACUAUUGCAUUGACAUUUAUAUUUCAAAUGAUCCAGCUAAAGGACAGCCUACUCCAACGUCCGUGCUUUGUCGCCUGCAUAUUUAAGUGUUUUGCUAAUUGCUACAUAUACUCAGGGAAAAAAUCUUGAAACUUGAACGCAUUGGUCCCACCCAACUGUUGUAAUGAAUAUUGUGUUGUACAUGUAUUAAUAAGAAUGAUGUGACUCCAAUCACCUGAGACCAGGGUUAGUGUGUGACAGGGAACUCAGAGGCACUGCUGGAGGGCUUUAGGUUUGUUUCUGUUAAUGUAUAUUAUGUUGUACAUGUAUUAAUAAGAAUGAUGUGACUCCAAUCACCUGAGACCAGGGUUAGUGUAUGACAGGGAACUCAGAGGCACUGCUGGAGGGCUUGACGUUUGUUUCUGUUAAUGUAUAUUAUGUUGUACAUGUAUUAAUAAGAAUGAUGUGACUCCAAUCACCUGAGACCAGGGUUAGUGUGUGACAGGGAACUCAGAGGCACUGCUGGAGGGCUUGACGUUUGUUUCUGUUAAUGUAUAUUAUGUUGUACAUGUAUUAAUAAGAAUGAUGUGACUCCAAUCACCUGAGACCAGGGUUAGUGUGUGACAGGGAACUCAGAGGCACUGCUGGAGGGCUUAGGUUUGUUUCUGUUAAUGUAUAUUAUGUUGUACAUGUAUUAAUAAGAAUGAUGUGACUCCAAUCACCCGAGACCAGGGUUAGUGUGUGACAGGGAACUCAGAGGCACUGCUGGAGGGCUUUAGGUUUGUUUCUGUUAUUAUGUACAUUGUAGACAACACUGGUAGAGAAUAUGCCAGCUUGUUAAUCCUGUCUCAUUAAAAUUAUCUUCCAACAUU
rnacentral:lncRNA from 1 species